rnacentral:rRNA from 1 species
GAAUAUUGCUCAAUGGGCGCAAGCCUGAAGCAGCGACGCCGCGUGGGUGAAGAAGGUCUUCGGAUCGUAAAGCCCUUUUCUGCGUGACGAGAGAGGACGGUAGCGCAGGAAUAAGUCUCGGCUAACUACGUGCCAGCAGCCGCGGUAAAACGUAGGAGACAAGCGUUAUCCGGAGUUACUGGGCGUAAGGGGCGUGCAGGCGGUUUGUUAAGUUCGUUGUGAAAGUUCCCGGCUAAACCGGGGAAGGUCGACGGAUACUGGCAGACUAGAGGACAGUAGAGGCGUGUGGAAUUCCGGGUGUAGUGGUGAAAUGCGUAGAUAUCCGGAGGAACACCAGUGGCGAAGGCGGCACGCUGGGCUGUACCUGACGCUAAGACGCGACAGCAUGGGUAGCGAACGGG